UGACAGUAGUUCUGAGUCUUGAUGAGUCUGUUAACGAGAAUUUGAGACUCACUAAUUUCACCUGCAACACUUGACUGUCUACUACUAACCUGAAGAUGCUAUGACCAGGUGGAGCAGCUCGUCUGUCAGCGACGCUAAAAUGUUGCUGUAAAUGCUCUUCAAACGAGAAGAACGACUCUCAGAAACAGAGGAGAAGCUGGAACAAACUUCAGGAUGAAGAUGUUUGUGAGGCUUCAUCCAAACUAAGAAAAGAGGCUCCACCUCCAAACUCAUGUGAGGAGAGCGGCCUCCCACCGUUCCUGCAGGAAGAUCCGAAUGAAAGGAGGAAACAGAGGAGCUGAAGCUCCGCCCAUGCUGCCCCCCCGCCCCGGUGCCCCUAUGUGAGUCUGAUUAGAAAGUGUGAGGCCAAAGGCUGCAGACAGACGUCCUGCAGGAUGAAGAGCGCUCUCAUCCUCGAGUACCUGCAAAUGAAAGCCGGGCGACUUCAAAGCAAAGAGGGAGUUUUGGGCGGGAACCUUUGCAGGUUUCUGAGAUGAAAGCAGGAACCUGCAUGCAGGUGAGAGCGCCCCCUGCACUCUGACAGGAACAUUUCACAUUGAGGUUCUUUCAACUCCUCUCAUCACGAUGCGGGAAGAAGAUGCUGCAGAUUUCAGUCAAAUAAAGCCGUGAGCGGCGUUUUACUCGCCCUCGCCAGCCCCUCUGCCCCUCCCA